rnacentral:tRNA from 1 species
AGCCUUAUAGUCAAAAAUGAUAUUAAAUUGCAAAUUUAAAGGAGAAUUUAUAUUCUGAGGCUU